rnacentral:rRNA from 1 species
CCUACGGGUGGCAGCAGUGGGGAAUAUUGCGCAAUGGGCGAAAGCCUGACGCAGCGACGCCGCGUGAGGGAUGAAGGUCUUCGGAUCGUAAACCUCUGUCAGCAGGGAAGAACGGUCACUGUGCUAAUCAGCAGUGAAUUGACGGUACCUGCAAAGGAAGCACCGGCUAACUCCGUGCCAGCAGCCGCGGUAAUACGGAGGGUGCGAGCGUUAAUCGGAAUUACUGGGCGUAAAGCGCUCGUAGGCGGUAUGUCAAGUCAAGGGUGAAAUCCCCGCGCUCAACGUGGGAACUGCCUUUGAAACGGGCAAACUGGAGUGUGUGAGAGGAUAGUGGAAUUCCAGGUGUAGGAGUGAAAUGCGUAGAGAUCUGGAGGAACAUCAGUGGCGAAGGCGACUAUCUGGCACAUAACUGACGCUGAGGAGCGAAAGCGUGGGUAGCAAACAGGAUUAGAUACCCGGGUAGUC